rnacentral:sRNA from 1 species
GCAAAGGGGAGUAACUUCUCGCUGGUCAAUCGCCAUUACAGUGCAAACGCACUCGGUUACCAGGCAACCUUAAUGACGUUAUCUGCAUUAAGUUGUAAGUGAGACCUUGCCAGAAGGCGAGGUCUAUUUGCAGCUUAAUAGCAAACGGCCUGUGCCUUCUGACACAGGCCGUUUU